rnacentral:lncRNA from 1 species
CCACAUUAUUGGUUAAUCGAGAAUCAAAGUGCAUUUACCAAUGAAUCACGAAAUGUUAUGGUUCUUAAAUAUUAUUUAUUAAUUUAUUCAGAAGUAAUUCACGGGAUCAUGCAUCUUUUACUUUUUACUAGUUAUAAUGAAAAAAAGUGGAGCUGAUUUAGUCUAGCCAAUUCUUGAAAUAAACAACUCGCACACACUCCCUUUCCAAAAAGGAUCAAUACACCAAGGACUACACUUAGAUUUAUUGGAUUUGUUGCUAAAAUAUCGGUAUUAAAUCCGAAACUCCUGGCCGAUGGCCAGUGACC